rnacentral:rRNA from 1 species
AACGAACGCUGGCGGCAUGCCUAACACAUGCAAGUCGAACGAGACCUUCGGGUCUAGUGGCGCACGGGUGCGUAACGCGUGGGAACCUGCCCUUAGGUUCGGAAUAACUCCCCGAAAGGGGUGCUAAUACCGGAUAAUGUCUUCGGACCAAAGAUUUAUCGCCUUUGGAUGGGCCCGCGUUGGAUUAGCUAGUUGGUAGGGUAAAAGCCUACCAAGGAGACGAUCCAUAGCUGGUGUGAGAGGAUGAUCAGCCACACUGGGACUGAGACACGGCCCAGACUCCUACAGAAGGCAGCAGUGGGGAAUAUUGGACAAUGGGCGAAAGCCUGAUCCAGCAAUGCCGCGUGAGUGAUGAAGGCCUUAGGGUUGUAAAGCUCUUUUACCCGGGAUGAUAAUGACAGUACCGGGAGAAUAAGCUCCGGCUAACUCCGUG